UACGAAGGGGGCUAGCGUUGUUCGGAAUCACUGGGCGUAAAGCGCACGUAGGCGGAUCUUUAAGUCAGGGGUGAAAUCCCGAGGCUCAACCUCGGAACUGCCUUUGAUACUGGGGAUCUCGAGUCCGGGAGAGGUGAGUGGAACUGCGAGUGUAGAGGUGAAAUUCGUAGAUAUUCGCAAGAACACCAGUGGCGAAGGCGGCUCACUGGCCCGGAACUGACGCUGGAGGUGACGAAGC
rnacentral:rRNA from 1 species